rnacentral:rRNA from 1 species
AUUGAACGCUGGCGGCAGGCCUAACACAUGCAAGUCGAGCGAGCGGCGGACGGGCGAGUAAUGUAUGGGGUCUGCCCGAUAGAGGGGGAUAACUACUGGAAACGGUGGUUAACACCGCACACUAUCGGAAAACCCAUAUGGGAUUAGCUAGUGGGUGGGGUAAAGGCUCACCGAGGCGACGACCUCUAGCUGGUCUGAGGGGAUGAUCAGCCACACGGGGGAGGAGACACGGCCCAGACUCCUACGGAGGCAGCAGUGGGGAUUAUUGCACAAUGGGCGCAAGCCUGAUGCAGCCAUGCCGCGUGUAUGAGGAAGGCCUUAGGGUUGUAAAGUACUUUCAGCGGGGAGGCGUUACCCACAGAAGAAGCACCGGCUAACUCCGUGCCAGCAGCCGCGGUAAUAC